UCCCUAGUAACUGCGAGUGAAGCGGGAAAAGCUCAAAUUUAAAAUCUGGUGGUCUUUGACUACCCGAGUUGUAAUCUAGAGAAGCGUUAUCCGCGCUGGACCGUGUACAAGUCUCCUGGAAUGGAGCGUCAUAGAGGGUGAGAAUCCCGUCUUUGACACGGACUCCCAGGGCUUUGUGAUGCGCUCUCAAAGAGUCGAGUUGUUUGGGAAUGCAGCUCUAAAUGGGUGGUAAGUUCCAUCUAAAGCUAAAUAUUGGCGAGAGACCGAUAGCGAACAAGUACCGUGAGGGAAAGAUGAAAAGAACUUUGGAAAGAGAGUUAAACAGUACGUGAAAUUGUUGAAAGGGAAACGCUUAAAGUCAGUCGCAUUGGCUCAGGGAUCAACCUUGCUUUUGCUUGGUGCACUUCCUGGUUAAUGGGUCAGCAUCAAUUUUGACCAAUGGAAAAAGUUUGAGGGAAUGUGGCAUCUUCGGAUGUGUUAUAGCCCUUGGUCGUAUACAUUGGUUGGGAUUGAGGAACUCAGCACGCCGCAAGGCCGGGAUAUACCACGUUCGUGCUUAGGAUGCUGGCAUAAUGGCUUUAAUCGACCCGUCUUGAAACACGGACCAAGGAGUCUAACAUACCUGCGAGUGUUUGGGUGGAAAACCCGAGCGCGUAAUGAAAGUGAAAGUUGGGAUCCCUGUCGCGGGGAGCACCGACGCCCGGACCAGACCUUCUGUGACGGAUCCGCGGUAGAGCAUGUAUGUUGGGACCCGAAAGAUGGUGAACUAUGCCUGAAUAGGGUGAAGCCAGAGGAAACUCUGGUGGAGGCUCGUAGCGAUUCUGACGUGCAAAUCGAUCGUCGAUUUUGGGUAUAGGGGCGAAAGACUAAUCGAACCA
rnacentral:rRNA from 1 species